GAUUAGGGUUUCGUCUUCUCUCUAUAACUCCGUUGAAACCCCCCGUUUUUAACCUCUUCUACCAUUUGUUGUCUCUCUCUCUCUCUCAAAUCAAACCUCUCUCUCUCUCUCUCUCAAAUCAAACGUCCACGCUAAAAUAAUUACCUCAACACUUGAAAAGA